GAAAACCCAGAAAGUCCGCCGUUGAAAUUCCCCCUUCACAUCAUAUUCUUAAAGCUUCUGAAGGUGUUUGUGCGUUGGAGCAAGCGGAGAAGGAAGUGGCUGAUGUGUCGUUGAUUGAUCUAAAUAAGGAUUCUCUAGAGAAACUUGAAGAGCAGAUUGAGUUGUGUCAAACAACUGAAAAAACAUACCCAAUUAUUGAGGAUGAUACAGUGGUUCCUACUAAGGAACUUGAAAAUAAUUUGGAUGAGAUUAAGACAGAGGAGAAGAUUGGAA
rnacentral:misc_RNA from 1 species